AGAGCGAACGCUGGCGGCAGGCCUAACACAUGCAAGUCGAGCGCCCCGCAAGGGGAGCGGCAGACGGGAGAGUAACACGUGGGAACGUACCCUUUGGUUCGGAACAACACAGGGAAACUUGUGCUAAUACCGGAUAAGCCCUUACGGGGAAAGAUUUAUUGCCAAAGGAUCGGCCCGCGUCUGAUUAGCUUGUUGGUGAGGUAACGGCUCACCAAGGCUACGAUCAGUAGCUGGUCUGAGAGGAUGAUCAGCCUCACUGGGACUGAGACACGGCCCAGACUCCUACGGGAGGCAGCAGUGGGGAAUAUUGGACAAUGGGCGCAAGCCUGAUCCAGCCAUGCCGCGUGGAUGAUGAAGGCCCUAGGGUUGUAAAGUCCUUUCGACGGGGAAGAUAAUGACGGUACCCGUAGAAGAAGCCCCGGCUAACGUUCGUGCCAGCAGCCGC
rnacentral:rRNA from 1 species